rnacentral:rRNA from 1 species
AGCAGAAGCUUGCUUCUCUUGAGAGCGGCGGUACGGGUGAGUAAAGCCUAGGAAUCUGCCUGGUAGUGGGGGAUAACGUUCGGAAACGGACGCUAAUACCGCAUACGUCCUACGGGAGAAAGCAGGGGACCUUCGGGCCUUGCGCUAUCAGAUGAGCCUAGGUCGGAUUAGCUAGUUGGUGAGGUAAUGGCUCACCAAGGCGACGAUCCGUAACUGGUCUGAGAGGAUGAUCAGUCACACUGGAACUGAGACACGGUCCAGACUCCUACGGGAGGCAGCAGUGGGGAAUAUUGGACAAUGGGCGAAAGCCUGAUCCAGCCAUGCCGCGUGUGUGA